rnacentral:rRNA from 1 species
AGAGUUUGAUCCUGGCUCAGGAUGAACCUUGGCGGCGUGCUUAACACAUGCAAGUCGAACGAAGCGCCUUGCCGGAACCCCUUCGGGGAGGAAGGCAUUGCUACUGAGUGGCGGACGGGUGAGUAACGCGUGGGCAACCUGCCCCAUACAGGGGGAUAACAGUUAGAAAUGACUGCUAACACCGCAUAAGCGCACAGGGCCGCAUGGCCCGGUGUGAAAAACUCCGGUGGUAUGGGAUGGGCCCGCGUCUGAUUAGCCAGUUGGCGGGGUAACGGCCCACCAAAGCGACGAUCAGUAGCCGACCUGAGAGGGUGACCGGCCACAUUGGGACUGAGACACGGCCCAAACUCCUACGGGAGGCAGCAGUGGGGAAUAUUGCACAAUGGGGGAAACCCUGAUGCAGCGACGCCGCGUGAGCGAAGAAGUAUCUCGGUAUGUAAAGCUCUAUCAGCAGGGAAGAAAAAUGACGGUACCUGACUAAGAAGCCCCGGCUAACUACGUGCCAGCAGCCGCGGUAAUACGUAGGGGGCAAGCGUUAUCCGGAUUUACUGGGUGUAAAGGGAGCGCAGGCGGCGCGGCAAGUCUGAUGUGAAAGCCCGGGGCUCAACCCCGGGACUGCAUUGGAAACUGUCGCGCUCGAGUGUCGGAGAGGUAAGUGGAAUUCCUAGUGUAGCGGUGAAAUGCGUAGAUAUUAGGAGGAACACCAGUGGCGAAGGCGGCUUACUGGACGACAACUGACGCUGAGGCUCGAAAGCGUGGGGAGCAAACAGGAUUAGAUACCCUGGUAGUCCACGCCGUAAACGA